rnacentral:rRNA from 1 species
AAGUCGAACGAGCGAGAGAGAGCUUGCUUUCUCGAGCGAGUGGCGAACGGGUGAGUAACGCGUGAGGAACCUGCCUCAAAGAGGGGGACAACAGUUGGAAACGACUGCUAAUACCACAUAAGCCCACGACCCGGCAUCGGGUAGAGGGAAAAGGAGCAAUCCGCUUUGAGAUGGCCUCGCGUCCGAUUAGCUAGUUGGUGAGGUAACGGCCCACCAAGGCGACGAUCGGUAGCCGGACUGAGAGGUUGAACGGCCACAUUGGGACUGAGACACGGCCCAGACUCCUACGGGAGGCAGCAGUGGGGAAUAUUGCACAAUGGGGGAAACCCUGAUGCAGCGACGCCGCGUGGAGGAAGAAGGUCUUCGGAUUGUAAACUCCUGUUGUUGAGGAAGAUAAUGACGGUACUCAACAAGGAAGUGACGGCUAACUACGUGCCAGCAGCCGCGGUAAAACGUAGGUCACAAGCGUUGUCCGGAAUUACUGGGUGUAAAGGGAGCGCAGGCGGGAAGACAAGUUGGAAGUGAAAUCCAUGGGCUCAACCCAUGAACUGCUUUCAAAACUGUUUUUCUUGAGUAGUGCAGAGGUAGGCGGAAUUCCCGGUGUAGCGGUGGAAUGCGUAGAUAUCGGGA